rfam:Leptolyngbya valderiana BDT 20041 contig00019, whole genome shotgun sequence.
GGGCAGAUAGCUCAGUUGGUAGAGCACGGCAUUGAAAAUGCCGGUGUCCCCGGUUCAAGUCCGGGUCUGCCCA